rnacentral:rRNA from 1 species
UGGGGAAUAUUGCACAAUGGGCGCAAGCCUGAUGCAGCCAUGCCGCGUGUAUGAAGAAGGCCUUCGGGUUGUAAAGUACUUUCAGCGAGGAGGAAGGCGUUGUGGUUAAUAACCGCAACGAUUGACGUUACUCGCAGAAGAAGCACCGGCUAACUCCGUGCCAGCAGCCGCGGUAAUACGGAGGGUGCAAGCGUUAAUCGGAAUUACUGGGCGUAAAGCGCACGCAGGCGGUUUGUCAAGUCGGAUGUGAAAUCCCCGGGCUCAACCUGGGAACUGCAUCCGAAACUGGCAGGCUAGAGUCUUGUAGAGGGGGGUAGAAUUCCAGGUGUAGCGGUGAAAUGCGUAGAGAUCUGGAGGAAUACCGGUGGCGAAGGCGGCCCCCUGGACAAAGACUGACGCUCAGGUGCGAAAGCGUGGGGAGCAAACA